rnacentral:rRNA from 1 species
UACGUAGGGUGCAAGCGUUAAUCGGAAUUACUGGGCGUAAAGCGUGCGCAGGCGGUUUUGCAAGUCUGUCGUGAAAUCCCCGGGCUCAACCUGGGAAUUGCGAUGGAGACUGCAAAGGCUAGAAUCUGGCAGAGGGGGGGUAGAAUUCCACGUGUAGCAGUGAAAUGCGUAGAGAUGUGGAGGAACACCGAUGGCGAAGGCAGCCCCC